GACAGAGGGUGCAAACGUUGCUCGGAUUUACUGGGCGUAAAGCGCAUGUAGGCGGGCGAUUAAGUCGGGUGUGAAGUCCCUGGGCUCAACCUAGGAACUGCAUCCGAAACUGAUCACCUUGAGUAGUGGAGAGGAAAGCGGAAUUCCGGGUGUAGAGGUGAAAUUCGUAGAUAUCCGGAGGAACACCAGUGGCGAAGGCGGCUUUCUGGACACUAACUGACGCUGAGAUGCGAAAGCGUGGGGAGCAAACAGG
rnacentral:rRNA from 1 species